CGGGUGAGUAAUGUCUGGGAAACUGCCCGAUGGAGGGGGAUAACUACUGGAAACGGUAGCUAAUACCGCAUAACGUCGCAAGACCAAAGAGGGGGACCUUAGGGCCUCUUGCCAUCGGAUGUGCCCAGAUGGGAUUAGCUAGUAGGUGGGGUAAUGGCUCACCUAGGCGACGAUCCCUAGCUGGUCUGAGAGGAUGAUCAGCCACACUGGGACUGAGACACGGCCUAG
rnacentral:rRNA from 1 species